rnacentral:sRNA from 1 species
CCGCACCCAUUUUGGCUCAAG